AGGGAACCCUACAAACUGACAUCAGGAACCUGGACUGACCAAGAGUUCCAUCUUCCUCCAUCUUGCCUUACGGCAGAGUUGUUCCAGUCCCUCCAUCAUCAUCUUCACAGCCCUUCACUGCUUUCUUCUGAGCUGAGGAGCCCCAGCCUGGAACCAGCCCUAGAGGUGCUCAGCAGUGCUGAGCAGAGGAGAAGGAUCCCCUCCCUUGGCCUGCUGGCUGCACUCUCGAUGCAGCUCAGGAUCCCAGAAGAGUGCAUAUUUUGGCUUAUGGUGACCUUGGUGCUCUCCAGGACCUCCAAAGCCUUUCCUGGCAAAAGCUUUCCAGCCCAGAUAGAAUGGCCCCCAGUAUGCUCUGGUGCCUGCCUGGUAGUGUUCCUCUCCUGGAACAGGACUUUGGGCUUCCCCUUCUUGAACUUGGUGAUGUUCCUGUCAGCCCAUUUCUCAGGCUUGUCAAUGGCAAUAUUAUCCUUCGCCGCUUCCUUCGAAUAUUGUCCCAUAUUUGGCGCUGAUGUUGAAUUGUUCUGAGAAAGAGAACCCCAUAGGACUGUAGAACAAGAAUUUUUGUGGCAGUAACUGCUGUGUGCAAGAGUUUCCAUUUGUCUUUCUCAAUAAAUAUACAAGGAAGUGUAAUACUCAGCUGGCCAAAGAAGAGACUACUUUCAAGGCCCAAGCCACCGGGAGUGGGUGUGUGGUGGAGGACCUGGGCCAUGCCUAAGGCUGGCUCAAGAGUCUCUAAGUGACUAGGGGAGAUCAGCACCGAGGGUCAGACUGGAUCCCCUGGUUCAUGGGCAGAAGGUAAAAACCCAGUAUGUACAAUACUGGUUUGAUCAGAGGGAGGUUCAAAGAGCUGGAAUACCUGUUGAAAAAAAACUUUCAUUUCGAAAAAGGAAGAUAUUUCACUUCAUUUCUUGAAUUCCUAUCUUAUUUAAAGAAAAAAAAAGUUCAAAGAUAAGCAAGUAUGGAUCUCAUAGAACUGAUUAGUAUCUAUGUUUUCUAAUUCCGUUUUUAAACUUGUGUGUUAAGCAACUGAAUUAAAACAUGUUGCUGUAAUUGUGGGUUGAGGCAUGUAUUAUCUGCAUUAAUAUUUUUUAUUAUUUAUGAGAUAUAGGCAUUUUUCAAAUCUUUGCAUAAAACUUCUUGGCUAAUGCAAUCUAAGUACCUAAAUAUAAUUAGUGGAACAGUUUGUUAGCAUAAUCAUUGCCAUGGGCUGUAAUUAACAUAAAUUUUAAUUUCAUGACCUUGUAGAAGAGAUUAUAAUUGCACAAACCAUCA